rnacentral:SRP_RNA from 1 species
UAGCGCCUGCCUGUAACCCGAGCGGGGGUGGGGACUCGUGAAUCAUCAUCUGGUGGUUUCGGUCCGCAGUCUCAUGCCGAUGGCGUGCCCACCUCAAGUAAGGUGUCACCACUUAGAUCUCCCUGACGGGGGUGAGGGGGGGUGUUAAUGCGAAGGGUAAUGCGUGAGGCGGGAAACCGAGCAGCGAAUACCUUCCGCACCUGACGGUGAGGGGAUCACACUCCUGA